CACUAUAGAACUGCAUCAACCAGAUGCCCACCGUCCUAGUUUUCCAAGUCCUUGAAAAAUGGCUUCAAAAGCCUGGCAAACAACUCUGACUAAAACCUCCAGCGUGUUUAUUAAUGAGAUCUGCUUCUGCUAAUGUUAACUUUGGCAACCCAGUAGUCAAGUUGACCAGCAACACAAGCAGAACCUGUGGAACCAUAUGAGCAGAAUUUCUUAACAGCAUUUUCUGCUCCAACGUACUCAUAUACAUCCUCCUCAAAAAUUGGACUUACACUUCUCAAGUCAUCAAGACUUAGAUCCUCAAGCUGACAGUUCUUUGAAACACACAAGGCAACAGACCUUCCAACUAUAUCAUGGGAAGUUCUGAAAGGCAUUCCCUUCUUCACAAGAUAGUCAGCAAGUGUUGUGGCAUCAAGAUGGCCAGCUGGCAAAGCCUUUUUAAUUCUCGCAUGAUUAAAGGUAAUGUUCUGUGCAAAUUCGGCUGAAACUUCAAGCAUCCCUAUAACUGUCUUCACGCUGUCGAAUACAGGUUCCUUAUCUUCCUGCAAAUCACGAUUAUAAGCAAGUGGAAGCCCUUUGCACAAUGUGAGGAGAGUAACCAGGUCUCCAACGACUCUAGCAGACUUUCCUCGAACAAGUUCCAUGGGAUCUGGAUUUUUCUUCUGAGGCAUUAUGCUGCUUCCAGUUGAAACACAAUCACUUGGUGUGAUAAACCCAAACUCCUCUGAUGCCCACAAAACCCAUUCCUCACCCAGCCGAGAAAGAUGAAUGGCUGUGAUGGAAUUAGCGGAAAGAAACUCCAAGACAAAAUCUCGGUCUGAGACAGCAUCAAUACUGUUCCUCAAUGGAGCAGUGAAUCCUAGAGAAUUAGAAGUCAUAAACCUAUCAAUGGGUAGACCAGUGCCAGCCAAUGCACAUGCACCAAGGGGGCAGAAGUUCAGCCUAGCUCUACAAUCGAUCAAACGACCAGCAUCACGAUCAAGCUGCUCAACAUAAGCCAACAGAAGAUGUGGCAAUAAAACAGGCUGCGCCCGUUGCAAAUG
rnacentral:misc_RNA from 1 species